GAUGAACGCUGGCGGCGUGCCUAAUACAUGCAAGUCGAGCGAACAGACGAGGAGCUUGCUCCUCUGACGUUAGCGGCGGACGGGUGAGUAACACGUGGAUAACCUACCUAUAAGACUGGGAUAACUUCGGGAAACCGGAGCUAAUACCGGAUAAUAUAUUGAACCGCAUGGUUCAAUAGUGAAAGACGGUUUUGCUGUCACUUAUAGAUGGAUCCGCGCCGCAUUAGCUAGUUGGUAAGGUAACGGCUUACCAAGGCAACGAUGCGUAGCCGACCUGAGAGGGUGACCGGCCACAUUGGAACGGAACCAGGGACCGGCCCCCAAGGGGAGGAGCCAGACGGGAAUUGUCCGCAAGGGGCGAAACUUUGACGGGCCAAGGCCGCGGGAUUAAUAAAGGUCUUCGAAACGAAAAACUUUUUUAUAAGGAAAAAAAAAAUGUGAAAGAACCUAGCCCCGUCUGAACGUUACCUAAUCAAAAAGCCACGGCAAACUACGUC
rnacentral:rRNA from 1 species